rnacentral:tRNA from 1 species
AGUUAAUAAGCUUUAAGCAUUAUAUUUUGAAAAUAUAAGAAAGAAUAAAUUCUAUUAACUU